GAAUUGCGAUAUGUAAUGUGAAUUGCAGAAUUCAGUGAAUCAUCGAAUCUUUGAACGCACAUUGCACCUUUUGGUAUUCCGAAAGGUAUGCCUGUUUGAGUAUCAUUAAUCUCUCAACGCUAUGGUUUUUAUUAACUGUAUGUGCUUGGAUUUUGAAGGUUUGCUGGCGUUAUUGUCAGCUCCUUUUAAAUGUAUUAGCAGGACUUGUUAGACCAGCUUCGGUUUGAUAAUAAUUCUUAUCUAUGCUGUCGCUGAGAAACUAUUGUUCCGCUUCUAAUUGUCUACAUUUGUAGACUGUCUCUUAUGAGGCAUUACUUGAAUCUUGAUCUCAAAUCAGGUAGGACUACCCGCUGAACUUAA
rnacentral:misc_RNA from 1 species